UCCCACAGCUUCCCCUACAGAGCUUGGUGCUCAGCACUCCUCUGGACAUCACUCUGUUUAUCUCUUCAUGAGGCUUUUCAUUUCUUAUCCUUUAUAAUAAACCAGUGACUGUAAGUUUCUGAGUUCCCUGAGCUGUUCUAGCAAAUAACUGAACCCCAGGAAGGGAUGUGGAAACACCCCGAAGGUAUAGCCAGUUGGUCAGCAAUACAGGCACAUCUCAAACCUGCUGAAAAGCUAUUUCCCUGCAUGGUGAAUUUCCUACCUCUUCCUACAGCAUGCACAACAGAAGGGCCAAAUCCUCGGAUCUGGAAGCCAAGUCCAUCAGCUGAAUCUGGAAUUUUCACCGUCCUAAAUCAAUCAGAAAAUAAGGUUAUUUUUUUUUACUGUGUUUUCCGCCUAUAUCCAAUUAACUCAGAGAGCACCAACUUCUAUAUCUACAUCAGUGACACCAAAAUAUCCAUCUCUAGCCUGGCAUAGCUCAAGUGGCUCCAGCGCAGGGGAGAAGAGGAGCCUGGAAUCUAAAGAAGAGAGCUCCAACCAGCAUAGACGUGUCAACAGUGCAAGCUGCUGAAACAAGGACAAGGAAGAUAUCAUCCCUCCACGCCAACCACCAUGCGCUUCUCAACCAGCCCUACUGCCUAUAAACUACCUGCUGUUUUGGUUGUCUGCUAAAUGCGGAAAGCCUGAGAGAGGGUAUUUUAUUAGUGGCAUAGUCAGAUGCAGCUGUGCUCUAAGAACAUCCUCUGAAAAUGCCUGGGAGAAAUUAUUUCCUUCUCAAAGACAAGUACUAAAAAUAGUCAUUCAUUGACCAAGUCAACUAACAGUGCAUAAGUUGAUCAGUAAUUUUGUUUGAAAUUAGUGUGUUCUACAGAAAGCUUUGUCUCGCACGAACCUAUGUUUGACAAAACAGAGACCUUGGGCAUUAGCAGAUAGGCGUAUGGGUGAUAGUUCACCACUGACUUUAAACAGGUUCAGAGAUAAACACCAUACUUUGUUCAUUUUCACAUUCAUUAAAGAUCUAAAUAUUGAGAAAUUUGCAUGAGAAUUAAGUAUUUUCCAAUUAGAGCAUGAAGGUGAGGUUACUUUAAACUAGAUAUACUUAGGUUAUAGCACUGAAAAGUAGGAUCUAUGAGGGCAGGGGAUUUUGUAUCUCAUUUGUUGCUGUAUUCCCAGAGCCUAGAACACUGCAAAACAUAUAAUAGGCACUAAAUAAAUAUUUGUGAAUGAAUGAAUGCAUGAUCAGGAGUUUUUUGUUCAAAAGGCUGGUGAAGUGGCUGGGUGCAGUGGCUGAUGCCUGUAAUCCCAGAACUUUGGGAGGCUAAGGUGGGCAGAUCACUUGAGGUCAGGAGUUCGAGACCAGCCUGACCAACAUGGUAAAACCUGUCUCUAUUUAAAAAAAAAAAAAAUCACCUUUGCGUGGUGGCACAGGCCUGUAAUCCCAGCUAUUCUGGAGGCUGAGGCAGGAGAAUCACUUGAACCUGGGGGGCAGGUUUUGCAGUGAGCCGAGAUCAUGCCACUGCACUCCAGCCUGGGUGACAAAGGCAGACUUUGUCUCAAAAAAAAAAAAGGCUGUUGAAGUAGCAUUAAUCCAAUGAGAAAACAGUCAAAGCAUGUGCUUUAAUAACCAAAGUUAUAUUCAUAUAAAAGACAAUCAAAGGUGAUGAGAAAAUAGACACAGCUCUUGACAGAAAGGAAGAAACGCAACAGGCAAAGUGGCUCAUGCCUGUAAUCCCAGUACUUUGGGAGGCCAAGGCGGCAGAUCACAAGGUCAGGAGUUCAAGAUUAGUCUGACCAACAUGGUGAAACCCCACCUUUAACAAAAUAAAAUACAAAAAUUAGCUGCGUGUGGUGGUGUGCACCUAUAAUCCCAGCUACUCGGGGGGCUCAGGCAGGAGAAUCGCUUAAGCCCAGGAGGCAGAGGUUGCAGUGAGCCAAGAUCACACUACUGCACUCCAGCUUGGGUGAAAGAGUGAGACUCUGUCUCAAAAAAAAGGGAAGAAAGAAAAAUAGAGGAAGAACCUCCUGCAAUGCAAAAUACAGUGCUACUCUGUGCAGUCUCCGUGGGGUUCCAGGUUGGAGUCUGUGAUUAGUGAAGCUCCAGGGACGAAGAAUGAGUCACUUAGUCUUCCAGGAGGUCAAGAAGUUCAUGGUUAUAGAGCUCUAGAACAGGAGACCCAGUACCCAGGCGACGGACCAGUACCAGUCCAAGGCCUGCCAGGAACUGGGCGCACAGCAGGAGGUGAGCAGCAGGUAAGUAAGCUUUAACACUGGAGCUCCAUCUCCUGUCAGAUCAUCUGUGGCAUUAGAUUCUCAUAGGAGUAGGAACCCUUUUGUGAACCCUGCAUGCGCAUGAGAGGGAUCUAUGUUGACCAGUCCUUAUGAGACUCUAAUGCCUGAUGAUCUGAGAUGGAACAGUUUCAUCCCAAAACCAGCCCCCACCCUCCAUCCGUGGAAGAAUUGUCUUCCACAAAACUAGUCUCUGGUACAAAGAAGGUUGGGAUCCCUGCUGUAGAAUACCCACCACCUCCCGGCCCCUAUUAUCCCUGAGUGGCCAGACAGGGCUCAGCUUCUUCUAAUCCCAAAGGUAUUCAGUAGAACCUGUAAGAUUAUCCAGAGACAUUAUGUUCAAUAAAGAUUAUUUCAAGCCUGAAUAUCUAAGACUGAUUUCAGUUUGUUUAGAAUUUUUCUAUUUUAUGUCAUGACAACAAAUUUAAAUUAAAAUGCUAAUUUACAUUACCUCGGCA